rnacentral:rRNA from 1 species
GGAGGAUGCAAGUGUUAUCCGGAAUCACUGGGCGUAAAGCGUCUGUAGGUGGUUUAAUAAGUCAACUGUUAAAUCUUGAGGCUCAACCUCGAAACCGCAGUCGAAACUAUUAGACUAGAGUAUAGUAGGGGUAAAGGGAAUUUCCAGUGGAGCGGUGAAAUGCGUAGAGAUUGGAAAGAACACCGAUGGCGAAGGCACUUUACUGGGCUAUUACUAACACUCAGAGACGAAAGCUAGGGUAGCAAAUGGGAUUAGAUACCCCAGUAGUCCUAGCUGUAAACAAUGGAUACUAGAUGUUGACCAGAUCGCCCUGUGCAGUAUCAAAGCUAACGCGUUAAGUAUCCCGCCUGGGAAGUAUGCUCGCAAGAGUG